UACGUAGGGGGCUAGCGUUGUCCGGAUUUAUUGGGCGUAAAGAGCGUGUAGGCGGCCAGGUAGGUCUGCUGUGAAAACUCGAGGCUCAACCUCGAGACGUCGGCGGAAACCAUCUGGCUAGAGUCCGGAAGAGGAGAGUGGAAUUCCUGGUGUAGCGGUGAAAUGCGCAGAUAUCAGGAAGAACACCCGUGGCGAAAGCGGCUCUCUGGGACGGUACUGACGCUGAGACGCGAAAAGCGUGGGGAGCGAACAGG
rnacentral:rRNA from 1 species